AACGAACGCUGGCGGCAUGCCUAACACAUGCAAGUCGAACGAGACCUUCGGGUCUAGUGGCGCACGGGUGCGUAACGCGUGGGAACCUGCCCUUAGGUUCGGAAUAACUCCCCGAAAGGGGUGCUAAUACCGGAUAAUGUCUUCGGACCAAAGAUUUAUCGCCUUUGGAUGGGCCCGCGUUGGAUUAGCUAGUUGGUAGGGUAAAAGCCUACCAAGGCGACGAUCCAUAGCUGGUCUGAGAGGAUGAUCAGCCACACUGGGACUGAGACACGGCCCAGACUCCUACGGGAGGCAGCAGUGGGAAUAUUGGACAUUGGGCGAAAGCCUGAUCCAGCAAUGCCGCGUGAGUGAUGAAGGCCUUAGGGUUGUAAAGCUCUUUUACCCGGGAUGAUAAUGACAGUACCGGGAGAAUAAGCUCCGGCUAACUCCGUG
rnacentral:rRNA from 1 species